UACUUUGCGCAGAGGCAAUAUCGUAACCAAUGAGGUUAAUCCGAGGUGCGAUUAUUGCUAGUUGAAAUAUAGAAGUAAGAUAUAUUAAAUUUGUAUACUAGGAAAUGAUAGUUUUUUUUAAUGCAAAAAUUUA